GGGCUCCGGGCGGCCGUGACCCUGCUGGAGUCCGGGGGGGACCUCCAGCCCCCCGGGGGGUCCCUGCGCCUCCUCUGCCGCGCCUCGGGCUUCAAUUUCGGGAGUUAUGCCAUGCAAUGGAUCCGCCAGAGACCCGGGCAGGGGCUGGAGUGGCUCGCGGGGAUCAGCAGCGGUGGCAGCACCGCGUACGCGCCGUCGGUGAAGGGCCGGGCGACGAUCUCCAGGGCCAACGGGCAGAGCUCGGUGACGCUGACCAUGAACGGCCUCAAGGACGAGGAUUCCGGCUCCUAUUUCUGUGCCAAAGCUGCUGCUGCUGCUGGUUGGGCUGCUGGUGCUGGUGGUGCCGCCGGCCUUGGCCAGGAUCUCGCCUCUCCCGUCACCGAGCUCUGCCCGUUGGCCCUGGAGAUCGUCGCCCGGCCCUUCACCGACGGCGCGUAUCUGGUGCUGCUGCCAUCACUGUAG